CAGUAAGCCACAAAAUGAAACUGAAACCAAUCCAGUGCUUUCCUGAGGUUGCUUUUUUCAGGCGUUUACAGCAACCAGACAAGUAGCUGAGACAGCAUGUAGAUUGAGAGUCAUGGGGCUGGUGCUGUGAUAAACCUCACCGUGUAGUUCCUAGGCCCUUAGAACUGGUUUCCCAGGUGAGUGUGGAAGAGUUUGGGGCAACGGUCUGGAGAAGUCUCAGAACGCUGUAAGCGGAGCUCAAUAGGCCUCUGCUGGGAGUUUAGAAGACCAAAUGCCAAAGGAAAUGUGAACAGUCAAGGCUCGGCUUGUGACAUUUCAGACUGGGAACACAGACUCUAUGGGAACUGGGCUAGUGGACGUUUGUGUUAUGCUGUGACAAAGAAUCUGCCUUCAUCCUGCUCAUGUCCCCAGGCUCAAUUCAAAGGGACAUGCAAAAGAGUUGUGGGGUCCUGGAGACUUGCACCAAGAUUUCUUAAAGCCUUAAAGACUGGCCAAUAUGCAGCAGUGCUUUAUUUCCUGCAAGGAAGCCCCAGGAGGCCACUGCAUGAAGCUAUGAAGGUCUACAGUCAAGAGUGAUAGGAAUUCCAACCAUGCCCCCAUGGUUGCGCAUGCCCAGCGGGACACUUAGUCAUUUCCGCCUAGUCAUUUCCGGGUCAUACGUCCUGUGUGACCCAUGACCCCAUGGCUGCGUGGUUGUGCAAAGCACGUGGCACAACCAUGUGAUCUAUGCACAUGCAUGGAAUAGCCACAUGGGCCUGUGUGCACAGGUGUGGCUUGGCCUUUGAAAGCCGGCUCCUAUGUUCCCUCUCCCCCUUCACACAUGUGUCCUUUCAUCAGGCCUGAUCAUGUCUAUCCUUUUCUCUUUGUCUUAAUAAAACUCUUGUUAGUGGA